UCGACUUUGAAAAUAAAAGUGCAGGGAUAGAGAAUUCAAACGCAGGUUUUUAUACUGGUUCGAUCAAACUGCCUACAUCCAGUGUUCUUCCAAUACCCGGAAGCAAAUGCACUAUAAUGAUCAGGGCUUUUACAACAAGGUUUCUAUAGCGACCUCUACGUAAAAAAAUAUAACACCUCUCUAAUCCUUUAACCAACAUAUAGGCAUAUACACACAAAGAGCAACAACAAGAUAUCCCCUCUCCUGCAAUCUUUAAUCACUUUGAACAAUCCUCAAAGUCCAGAACGCCACACAUUCUCUUACUGUAGUCACAACAGGGCAGCCACAAUCUUCACAAGAUUGAGAGAAAAAGUUGAUCACGUAUCAGACACCUCAAUGUGCAGGUUGUUCAAUCAGUCUAUGCACACACAAAUUCUUGCUCUUCAAGCAACCCUCAAAGAAUGAUCACCUCGGUCUUCU
rnacentral:lncRNA from 1 species